rnacentral:rRNA from 1 species
GACGAACGCUGGCGGCGUGCUUAACACAUGCAAGUCGAACGGAAAGCCCCUGCUUUUUUGGUGUGCGCGAGUGGCGAUCGGGUGAGUAAGGCGGGAGUAACCGUCCCUUGAGUUUGGGAUGACUUCAGGAGACUGGGGCUAGUAGCGGAUAGGAGCUCAUGCUGCAUGGGGGGGGUUGGAAAGUUGAGGCGGUUGGGGAUAGACUCGCGGCUUAUCAGCUUGUUGGGGGGGUAGUGGCUUACCAAGGCUUUGACGGGUAGCCGGCCUGAGAGGGUUACCGGACACACUGGGACUGGGAUAAGGCACAGCCUCAUCUGGGAGGGAGAAGUGGGGAAUAUUGCAUAACGGGCUGAAGCAUGACGCAGCACAGCGGCGUGGCGGAUGACGGCCUUCGGGUUGUAAUCUGAAUUCGCCUCUGAAGAAGCGUGAGUGACGGUAAUGGGUAAAGAAGCACCGGCUAAAUACGUG